rnacentral:rRNA from 1 species
UACAGGGGGGGCAAGCGUUGUUCGGAAUUACUGGGCGUAAAGGGCUCGUAGGCGGCCAACUAAGUCCGACGUGAAAUCCCAAAGCUUAACUUUGGAACUGCGUCGGAUACUGGAUGGCUUGAAUCCGGGAGAGGGAUGCAGAAUUCCAGGUGUAGCGGUGAAAUGCGUAGAUAUCUGGAGGAAUACCGGUGGCGAAGGCGGCAUCCUGGACCGGCAUUGACGCUGAGGAGCGAAAGCCAGGGGAGCAAACGGG